rnacentral:rRNA from 1 species
AGAAUCAACGCUGGCGGCGUGCCUAACACAUGCAAGUCGAACGAGAAAGUGGAGCAAUCCAUGAGUAAAGUGGCGCACGGGUGAGUAACACGUGACUAACCUACCCUUGAGUGGGGGAUAACCUAGAGAAAUCUGGGCUAAUACCGCAUAAUACCUUCGGGUCAAAGGAGCAAUUCGCUUAAGGAGGGGGUCGCGGCCGAUUAGUUAGUUGGCGGGGUAAUGGCCCACCAAGACUGUGAUCGGUAUCC